rnacentral:lncRNA from 1 species
UGCAGUGGAAUAUUAUUUGACAAUGAAAACAACUGAGGGACUUGGGAUAUACAUGCUUAGUAUACACAGGGCCCCAGGUAUGAUUCCAGCACCAAAUGAACAAAUCCCAAAAAAAACAAACAAACGAACAGACAAAGCUGAAGUACCGACAUGUCCGGUUCACAGAUGCUGCUGUUGCUUGAAAGAUGUCAGUCACAAAGGAGCAUGCACGGUAUCCAGACCAAAUGUCCACCACAGGCAGGUCCUCAGAAGCAGGAAACAAGUGAGUGGUGGCUGAGUUCAGGGUGGAAGUUAGAGCAACUAUUUUGUAUUUAUUUGUUUUAACUUUUUAUUGGUUCUUUAUGACUUUCCCAUCAUGCACCCCAACCCCUCCCAUCCCCCUGUCCCUUCUCAUACCUGCCCUCUGCCCUUGCAACGUCCCCACAAAAAGAGAAAAAAAAUGUUGUGGAAUCUGUAGUGCGUGACAGUGUGUCCCACAGUGUAUCCUUUUGUCCACACUUCUUUGCUUGCAAAUGUUCAUUGCAACGAGUCCUUGGUCUGGUUCGAGAAUAGUGGAUCCUCACAGGGGCUCCCCUCAGUCAUCCUGUUGUUGCCCCGUGUCAUGAAGAUCCUGUAGUAAUUUUUUGGGGGGUCUGUAAGACUGGCCCCUUCACACGAUGCAGCAGUUCAUGGAUGGCGUGGAUGCUGAGGCAGACCAGCUCGAAGCCCUGGAUCUGGGCCUGAAAGGUGUCUGAGCUGGUCAGCCUGCCAGCUCAACGGAACUCACACCACCCAGGACUGGCUCAUCUGUGCCCACACCCCCAGAGACAGCUCUACUAUGUUGCUCAGGCGAGAUGCAGCAGGCUAGGAGCUAGGCCAAGCUCUCCUGCUCUCACUCCCUUGAGGCCAGCUUACCAGAAACCCAUACCCAAGCUGAGACAGCUCUACCCUGCUCCCCAGGUGAGGUCCAGAGCCCAAUCUCCCAACUGUUACAACUGGUGAGGGACAGAUCCAGUUCUCCCACUUUCAUGGCCCUGGGGCCAGCAGUCCCACCUGCUAUAGUGUGUAUGUGUUAUUACAGGAUGGCUCUCCCUAGUCCAUGCGACAGCACAGCAGACACAAGACAAGGCUGGCUUUCCAGCACUCAUGAGCUUGGGGCCAGCUCACCCGCAAUUCCAACAUCUAGGAACAGCUUUACUGUGCUGCCCAGGUGAGAUGCAAGGCCCACUUUCCUGAAUGCUGCCACUCCUUCCCAUAAUUUCCUCCAAUCAGGGACAGCUCUACUGUGCUUCCCGGGUGAUGGAGGUGAGGGGCAGCUGCCUGAAUACUGCAGCUUGCUAGGGAUGGGGCCAGCUCUUCUGCUUUCACGCCCCCCCCCCCAAGUAGUUUUUUCAGCUACUUGGGAGACCAAAAAUUCAAGUGUAGCUGGAUUCUGCCUCAAAGUUAAUGUUCUUAAAAUCUAUGGAUAUGGCUGAGUUUUAGAGUUCUUGCUUCAAAUACUUGAGACCCAGGGUUGGAUCCCCGUGUCUAAAAAAAAAAAAAAAAUCAAAGAAAGUUGAACAAAUAAACAUGAUUUUCACCCAAGAAUCAUAUCUAGCACAAAACUCUAACCUCAAUCCACAAAGAACUGACUAAUGAGGGCAAACCAUAUCCCCAGCAGAAUGACCAAGUUUGGGUGUGUUCUGAGAACAAAGGGCGUGGGGAGAAACAAGAGUCAGAGGGGGAAGCCCUAAUUCACACCAGGUCACAAGCCCAGCCUUGGCUGAUGUAUGUUACCCAUCGCUACCUGCCAAGUCUCCACAGGGUUUGUAGAACAGUAUCUGUCAAUGGCAGAACCGUUUUUCCUUUCAUUUACCCAAAUGGUGUCUGGCACUUAAGCAUCCGUGGAAUGUUUCUGAAAUAGUGUUUUCAAUACCAGACAGCACAGUGCUGUCUCUAGGAGUCAAAGCAACCAUGUGAGCCUCUGGGUCUUUGGCACAGCUGUGGAGGGAGAGGUUACCUCUUUCUCUUCUUUACAGCUUCCAACAUCAUCUGUCUGCACAUGUCUUCUCUUUCUCAAGCUCAGCUACAGUUGGAAGAAACAGAGUCCAGCCCCUGACCGCCCUGACCAUGGUAGCCAAUGGAGGGAAACAGACACUCUUGGAACAAAGUACCAUUUCUAUGUUUAAAUUACUUUUAAACAAAGUGUCAUUGAAGAAUCUUCUCCCAGUUCCCCUGCAGAACCGUGAUGUGAAUGUGGGUGACUUUUUCAUUUAGAACUUCAGGGAGCGGCUGGCCGUUGGAGAUGAAUGGCUUGGUUUGUAGCAAUGGGAAGUAAGAGAGAAACAUCUACCGGAUUUGAGUAAUGCACCCAUUUGAGGUGUUGACUAAGCUCUAUGGUGACAGCUCACUGAUCUCCUUGCCCAUGGUGGCAGAUAGCUCCACAGCCAUUUUGUACAUUAAAGAUGUCCUGAAGGGCCUCCUGUUUAGGAAGCAUUUGUUUCCACAGAGAGACUAUUGCCCUCGGUGUGUAAUCGUAAACUCACAAAGUUGAUGACUGUAGCGUGGUUAGAUCCUUAGGAAAUUCUGUGCUGGUUAAGAUCAUUGUCAGCUGGCAG